rnacentral:lncRNA from 1 species
CUGCCCAAAAGUGAAGACCGACAGUGCAAAGCUUUGGAUUCUGAUGCUGUGGUGGUUGCAGUUUUCAAUGGUUUACCUACUGUUGAGAAAAGAAGGAAAAUGGUCACUCUGGGGACUAAUGUAAAAGGAGGUCGUCUGGAAGGAAUGCAAUUGGCAGAUUUGGAAAGUCCUUCUGAUGCUGGGGAGGUACAGCCCACACUACCUGAAGGAGCCUCAGCUGCCCCUGAGGAAGGAAUGAGUAGUGACAGCGACAUUGAAUGUGACACUGAGAACGAGGAGCAGGAAGAGCACACCAGCAUGGGUGCCUUCAACGAUCCGUUCCUGGCCCAGCCUCCGGAUGAAGAUUCGCAUUCCAGUUUUCCUGAUGGUGAACAAAUAGACCCUGAAAAUCUCCACUUCAACACCGAUGAAGGCAGUGGAAGGUAAUUGCCAGACACGAGAGCCGAGCUACAAGCUACCUGGUCCCUGAAAUUUGUUGGAAGUUGGUGCUCAAAUUUGUCAGCAGUCAGAUAAUCAUACUUAUUUAGUCUCCCUCCCUCCCUCCCUCCUCCCCGCCCCCCUCGUCAUGUCUACAUGAAAUAGCAAUUCUGAAACUAUUAGAAGGCACACAACUCCAGCAGGAUGCAGUAGUAUAUGGGGAGAAGAUUAAGGCAGGGGAGUUCUUUCUAAUGUAAUGAACUGACAGUAUAGUACUCAGUUUAUUUAGCAAAUUAGUAUAUUAACAAAGGCAGCUUGUCUCCCAUACCAGAAGGCCAGCUAAGUGCCAGAAAGUACCUGGAGGCAUUGUGUGCUCUGAUCUCGUUCAGCACUGGUGCUUCUCUGGCUUUGGCUGGCACACGGUGUAGAUGGCCAUAGUUUAGUUUCUCUUUAGGUUGUGAUUUCGUUAGGGCUUGUAUAAUAGUGAACAGGAAAAUUGCUUAUAAACAGAUUUUGCUCAGUGGACACUUUUCCUAAGUAACCGUAGCAAUGUUAGACAGAAUCCUUUCUUUUAAAUAUGAUGAUAGACCAAAUUUUGUUUUUCUCACUUGUUCAAGUGUUGGCAUACUGAUUAAUGGCACGCACCUUCUUUCAGUCAUGUGAUCUUUACAGGUAUCAUUUAAAACGAGUUAAGUCAUUGUGGAUUGGGUCUAUGCAUGGUCACUUGGACACAUGUAAGAUCACUUAAAGUUGUUAUCUUUUCUGCUUUCUGACACAUAACCGUGGUGCAACAAAUAUUUCCGAACAAUAUCUUUCCAUUGGUUGGACAUUGAUUUCAUUGAGUGCAUUUAAAGAUUUAGGCAUCUACGUGAAGCUGUGUGCAAGGCUUUCUCUCAUAUUCCCCGUCAGCACAAACCCCAAUGAUUGCCAGGUUUUACCAGUGUGCUCCUGCUUCUGUGUUUGAGCUGUUGUACGUUUGUGAAAGUUACACUUAAAGUUGGCCAAGAGACUGUUGAAGAAACAUGGGUGUACCUACAUGAGAGCACUUCUCUCGCCUGCUUGUACUUAGUGACCCUCGUCUACGUCCCAUGGCUGAUGUCUUGCUGGGUGCUGUGACUCAGAGUUGACUGUUCUCUGAACAGCUUGCACUUUUUGUAAAUAAAAUUAACUUGAG